rnacentral:rRNA from 1 species
GACAGCGGCCUCAAGCGUUAGGCGGAAUCACUGGGCUUAAAGCGUGUGUAGGCGGAUCGUUAAGUGCCUUGUGAAAUCCCACGGCUCAACCGUGGAACUGCUGGGCAUACUGGCGGUCUUGGGCCAUUCAGGGGCGACUGGAACAAGCGGUGGAGCGGUGAAAUGCGUAGAUCUCGCUUGGAACGCCGAAGGUGAAAACAGGUCGCUGGGGAUGUGCCGACGCUGAGACACGAAAGCCAGGGGAGCAAACGGG